AUUGGAAUAACAUUAUUUUUCACCGGUCACUCGUUUAUUAUGACUUUAAAAACAAAAUUGAUUUAAAAAAAGGUUAGAUGUAAAAAAUAUCAGAAAGACAACCAUAAACUAGGACACAAAUAGAUUCUAGGUGUAUCUGUGACUGGGAAAUGUGUUGGCCUGAAACCACACACACACACACACAAUAAAUAGUACGACAGGUCUGCACGGACUCUAACUCUUGGACUCUUGUAAGAAAAGACGACUCUGGUUAGCGCGAUGUAUAAUUUAAUAAGUUCAGCAUGGAAUACAAUUAAUUGUACAGAGUUGGAACUGUUCAGUGUAAUACUAAAUCCAAUUUGCCAUAUUAAAAUAACAACAUAGUUUAUAUAACAAAC
rnacentral:lncRNA from 1 species